GCGCCGGCCGGCGGCGCGCGCGAGGCGCAGGCAGCCCAGAACGCGCGCCGAGCGCUUGCGCGGGGCCGACGGCCACCUAGGGGUGAGGAGCGCCCGGCACAGUCGCCGGCCAGCGCGCCUCUAGCCCACCUGCCGCCUGGCCAGAGAGGGGUGGACUAUGUGGCCAAAUGAAAUGGCCAGGCCGCGAGCCCUCGGAGGAGCCGCCUCUGUAAAGUUCUAAGCUUGCCGGGCACAGGCAGAGAGAAAGUUCAAAAUCAGGCUGCUGUGGUAGAAAUUAACGAGACAGGAGACUGUCGCGGCCGAGCAGAGGAGACGGCAGAAAGAUGCUAGGAAGACACUAGGAAAAAAUCGAACAGUUAUGACUCAGUGUGGGAGAAGAUGCUACAAAAGCGUGAACACCAAGGAAGAGGCAAGGAUCACUGAGCCAUGCCGGAUAUUGGCUACCACAACCAACUCCCACCAGCACUGAAUAUUUCACUUGCAAAUGACUGAAAAGUAUUGCUUCAGAUGAGACUUGACCCAGCAACUCAAACUAAAUCACCAAAACCAAGCAUCCAGGCCCAGAGACACGAGAGUGAAUGUUGGUGUGUCCAAAUCAAACAGGACGAAUAGAUUGGAUUAGGAGUGGAGAGGAUGAAGAAUCUGGAGAACACAUUUUCAUAGACCCUAGAGUACACAGCCUGAAUGGAUCACUCCAAAGGACUAAUGAAACAGAGACACAGUAACAGAAGAGGAGAUGAGGACACAGCCACAUACGGAGGAAAGACCAUGUGAAGACAGCGGAGGAAGAUGGCCAUCAGCAAACAGAGACCUUAAAAGAAACCAACCUCUCAGAAACGUUGAUCUUAGACUUCUAGACUCCAGAAGUGUGAGAAAAUAAAUUUCUGUUGUUUAAGCUACCUUGUCUGUGGUACAGGCCUACUUUGAAUAUAUUGUAGAUUUUGUUCCAGACUACUACAAUAAAGUGAAU